CCCGUUCAGUAGUCGCACAACAACUUGUGGCUUCAUAAAAGCAAGAGUGGGGGGACAUUGAUAGUAGUAUUGAACACUAAUCGUGAAGGAUUCGUAUGAAUUUCUGAGGGGAGUGGCCGCACUACCUCGACCCUUCCCAAAUAUUCCAUAAUACUCGGCGCAUCUACCACCAAAUGACCGAAAAAUCCAAAGUGAAGAUGAUUAAUUAACAUCGCGUGGGUGACGAACCCGAGGAAUUAUUUUCUGUUGUUAUUACAUGACUCAUCCAACGAAAGACAUUCACAUGCUAUAGUGCAACCGGCGCUUAUUCAUCGAUAAACAUCAAUGGGAAGAGGAAGAGGAUCGUUUUAUUUUCGAUUAUGUCUGGGCAGAAUCCCCAUUGGGUGCCCAUAAAAUCUGAUGGACGAUAGAAUAAUAGAAUUUUUCCUGGAUGCUGACGCCUCGAUAAUGUACACGAAGAGGAAGAUUCUUAAGAAAUAAUGUCUCUGUUUCGUAAUCUGCCAGUCAAAACAGUAUUCAGUCAAAAUUACGGAAGAGUUACGGAUUUUUUUACUGAACGUUUCAGACUUUUUCUGAAACGUGUUGGCCUUUUUCCUGAAAGUUAUCUGCAAAAGUGCGUAACUGUUCCCUAAUUUCUACCGAAUAUGGUUUUGACUGGCAGAUUAUGGAACGCGCACGUAAUUUUUCAAGAAUUAAUCUCUGUAUGUAAAGUAAUGCAAAGAAAUGACUGCAAAUUCGACAAUGAUGUUUGCGCACGGACACUGUUCAAUAUGAAGAUGAACAAAAUCCCGAUUUGAUCCAAUUCCACUUGGUUCAAGCGAAAUGUUCACAAUUCAUCGAUAAUUUUUUACCUCAGUGAUGAAUAUCACAUCACAUUCCCCCAGUCAGCACCAUCAUGGGAAAUCAACGAGUUGUAGUCUACAUAUAUCAUCGGACACCAAUUGACAAUUUCUCUAUUUUCCCAUUUUCUUCGAUGCUGGAUUUCUAUUUUUAUUUAACUCGAUUUGUUGAUAAUUUAAUUUAAACUGGCCAUGGAUUGAGAAUUACCAGACUUGUGGACUAGACAGUUAGAUUUCCUCUUCCGGAUUAAGAAAUUGCCGUCCAGUCUUGUGUUUAAUUGAUAAAGCACCUUCACCAGAAAUAUCAGGUUCAGUUAUUAUAUUCUACGUAUACAUAUAUCUAAACUUGAGUUACAACUGCAGAGUUACGUUUCGUCACAUAAUCUGAGUCAUACAUGGACAAAGCUUCAUGUCUGAAUUGACCGCAUCCUGUCUCGUGGUUCCAAUGCCGUUUACCUACGUAUAUAUUGUAACAAUAAGCUCUCUAGUGUCAGAUACAAUGAACGGAAUUGGAGGAUUGAGGCACGUGUAAACGAUACAUGCGGUGAUUCGUCUCGUUUUAUGGAAUCUUUGAUGAGGGCUUUUUGAGAGAUUUGCCGAGUCAAUACCACGCGCACACCGGUAAUCGCAGAGUGAUAAUGUCAUAUUACGGAAGGUCUAUACGAUAAAUUUAAUGACUUCUAAAGACACUAAUGAAGCUGGAGAAAAAUCGGGUGCGUAAGAAUUGUAAUUUGUUGUUUGCUGUUAUUGCAAUUCAACUCCCUUUAAUUUUUUGUGGGAAGAAUAUUUUAUUGGCCGAAUUUUCUUCUUUCGUCGUGUUCUUUCAAGAAGUCAAAGAAAUCGUGCCCUUCCGCACCUGACGAGACGCAAUUUUCCAUAUAUAAUAAUAAACCUGAACAGUAAUGCAUAUUCUGGGUUUAAAUAUCAAAUCUGAAGAUUUUCAGAGGGAAUGGGUACGCACCCCUGCAGCCAUCUACCGAAAAGAAUGAGAACAAGAAUAAUGUCAUUAAAUUUUCCACAUCGACCGUUAGUCAUUCUGUGGGGCACCCCAUGCCAAAGGGGAUGCCGCGAAGCCUCACCCUCUUGAAAAUUGCUGAGAUUUUUUUUAUUCGAAAAAACGGGCGUCUGACUCCGAAAUUCCUGUUCUACUUCGCUGGGACGCACCCCUGCCGCGCAGCAAAGUGGAACAUAUCAGUAUCGAGGUGUAAAAAAUAAAAAUAAACAAUCGUGCAAGUUUCCUAUUUAGGUAACAAAGACAAUUUUUUUUUUUAAUUUUCUUUCCUUUAUUUGCACAAAUUUUGCCAACGAUCGUAAUUAAAAAUUACGAGUAAUUUAAGUAACUUCAUGUAAGUAUCGAGACGUAAUCAAUAUCGCCUUGGGGUUCUUAUUAGAGAAUGAACUACCGAUGUUUAUUUUACCAUUUGUUUUGUCUUUCGGUCACAAAUGCAAUAAUUAUUUCACCUCAUACAACGAUAAACUGGGUAUCGCGGUAUGAUUUUAUUGAACCUCUUAUUCAUUUUGGGACUAUCUGUUCGCAGUAUUUUAGGUUUUUUUUUUUUUCAUUUAAAACUGAAACAUCAUUUCAAAUUCGAAUGAUGUGAACAUUCGAAUUCAUUUUCACUGUCUCCCAUUUUCUCAAAUUGUUUUUUUUUUGUACUCUCGCACGUUCUCAUACUUUUUUUUCCCACAUACUCUUCAAGUUUUUAAACAUUCCAACAACAUUAGAUGCCCAUUUAUAAGAAAAUGGUGCACCUAUAAUGAUGAAUUAUAUUCUCAAUAUUUUUUUAAAUCGUAUUCUUUUGGUAUUUUCCAUCUUUCGUAUUUUCAUGUAAAUUUGUUUUCCUCUCUCAUUACCGAUUACAAUAAAUAACACUAAUAAUAAUAUUCAAAUACGUUACCGCCCUGAACGCGUCUUCAAUUUAAUUUUAAUAUCGUUUUUUUUUUAAAUUUCCGUCAUUCUUGAUCUCCCUAAAAUUCAUAUAAUUUAUCAUCUUAAAAUAAUUAGUAUGUAUUACGAAGUUCUUUAUUUAUCAAUAAAAUUGUUUAAACGGCGGCACACACAGGCGUGUACAGUCAAUGCGUCUAAUAAAUACAAAGUCUCGAUUCAAUAAAUAGCGAUUAAAUUAAUGAACAAUAAUUAAAUGAUACACUUGUCCCUUCAAUAGAUUAAUGCAAAGUGCCACUGGUACUUAUAGAUCAGGCGUAUUACUCAGGAUUCUGUGAACAGUUUUACUCAUUACAUUGCAUUUUAUCUUCACAAAUCUCUUAAUUCAUGUUUACAUUUUUAUUUAAGAAAAUGUCGUGGUAGUGGAACGUAUUUUUCUCUCUCAAAAAGAUAAAUCAUCGAAACAACCAUUUUUUUUUUUUCACUCCUAAGUACCUAUUUCAACUAUAUACGACUGUGUUUACUAUAUCACUAUAGUAUUUUAUUAUUCGGUACAAUUAAUUUAAUCUUAAACAUUUUUUAAUUUUUUUUCUUUCAUUAUUUUUUUGUUCGUAUGUAUGAUCGUAAGGACGAUAUAUCAUCACUAUAGGCUUGCAGAAUUUUUUAUUUUUUUUUGACGUUGCACAUUCUCAUCUCUUCACAGAUCCCCAGUGACUAAGCAAAUGCCUCUUCAAAAGCGUGUUCUAUACAUAUG